rnacentral:rRNA from 1 species
UACGUAGGGGGCUAGCGUUGUCCGGAUUUAUUGGGCGUAAAGAGCGUGUAGGCGGCCAUGUAGGUCCGGUGUGAAAACUCGAGGCUUAACCUCGAGAUGUCAUCGGAAACCAUUUGGCUAGAGUCCGGAAGAGGAGAGUGGAAUUCCUGGUGUAGCGGUGAAAUGCGCAGAUAUCAGGAAGAACACCUAUGGCGAAGGCAGCACUCUGGGACGGUACUGACGCUGAGAAGCGAAAGCGUGGGGAGCGAACAGG